rnacentral:lncRNA from 1 species
GUGUUCUUUUGUCAAAUAGUUUUUCUAAUAACUACCAUCCAUGGUGUUUCUCUUUUGUCGCACUUAUGUUUAUUAAAGAUUUUAAUUGAAACCAUUAUUUUAUCUUUAAAAUUUUCAUUGUUCAUUACUUUUUGCAUUUGUGGCGAGCUAAAUUCAAAGGAAAACAAUUGGACGAUAUUUAAAUAGAUAUGGUGUAAGAGUAAAUAAAUAACCACUUCUAAAAUUAAUUCAGGAUAGGUUAAAAAAUAUUUUCACCUUCAUAUUAAAAAUAAAAAAGGAUCAAUAUAAAAGGAAUAAUGACAAUAAAUUUUAAAAAUCUUACAUCUAUAUUGAUUUUUUCUACAUAUGUACAAAAACAAUAGAAAUAAAUAAAUAUUAGCGAAGACAAAAGAAAAAAUGUGUUGACACUUAAUAAUAUGUUAAAUAAACGUAUUGAUUAGUCUGAUGCAAGUAGAACUAGAACUGUUAUAUGGAGCUAAUCUGGAUCGGUAUAAAUUAGAUGAGAAAGAAAAAAAUCUAAUAAACA